rnacentral:lncRNA from 1 species
GGACCUCUUCAGCCAUACCCAUCAUUUUCUGUUUAAUGUGUUUGUACAGUAUACCCACCGAUCCUCUUCAUUCAAGCUGGAGUUCACUUCUGAAUUGGAAUAACCUGAGCAAGUACAGUGUUGAAUGGGAGUGGGUCUUUGAGCACAUCUGGAUCAAGAUGGGGAUGAUAGAAGAAACCAAUUUAAAAAAAUUGCACAGCAUCACUUCCUGGUACCUUCACAUAAUCAACCAUUUAGCACUGGAAAAGGUAUCGCACUGAUUCAGAAUGGGUGUUACCAUGAUCAGAACAGUCCUGUAGCUGAAGUCAGCAUUCUUGCCUCUCCAUCAGCUCAGUGAGAGACGGGUCUCAUUCAUGCCAUAGGAGUUGACAGCUGUUUUUCUUCAGCAGUUGAAUUCACGUAUACAACCCCUUAUUGGGCCAAUACAGUAGUACCUUUAAUGUUUCUCACUGUGGUCUUGUCUCUCGUCAUUUGUUUGAUUGUAGCCUAUUAUCCUUUUUCCAUUAGCCAAGCUUUCACAUGUUUUUAUAUUAAAGGAAAAAUAAUGUAACCAGCACUAGUAACUUCAAAUGAAGUUCCAAAAAGGAAAACUCCAGUAAAACUAUUAGGAUGAAAUGUAUUCAAUUUGAAAUUUGUU